rnacentral:rRNA from 1 species
UACGGAGGGAGCUAGCGUUGUUCGGAAUUACUGGGCGUAAAGCGCACGUAGGCGGCUUUGUAAGUUAGAGGUGAAAGCCCGGGGCUCAACUCCGGAAUUGCCUUUAAGACUGCAUCGCUUGAACACGGGAGAGGUGAGUGGAAUUCCGAGUGUAGAGGUGAAAUUCGUAGAUAUUGGGAAGAACACCGGUGGCGAAGGCGGGUCUCUGGGCCGAUACUGACGCUGAGGAGCGAAAGCGUGGGGAGCGAACAGG